rnacentral:rRNA from 1 species
AGUCGAGCGAUGAAUCCUUCGGGAUGGAUUAGCGGCGGACGGGUGAGUAACACGUGGGUAACCUGCCUCAAAGAGGGGAAUAGCCUCCCGAAAGGGAGAUUAAUACCGCAUAAUAUGUUUUAAUCGCAUGAUUGAAACAUCAAAGGAGUAAUCCGCUUUGAGAUGGACCCGCGGCGCAUUAGCUAGUUGGUGAGGUAACGGCUCACCAAGGCGACGAUGCGUAGCCGACCUGAGAGGGUGAUCGGCCACAUUGGAACUGAGACACGGUCCAGACUCCUACGGGAGGCAGCAGUGGGGAAUAUUGCGCAAUGGGGGAAACCCUGACGCAGCAACGCCGCGUGAAUGAUGAAGGCCUUCGGGUUGUAAAGUUCUGUCUUCUGGGACGAUAAUGACGGUACCAGAGGAGGAAGCCACGGCUAACUACGUGCCAGCAGCCGCGGUAAUACGUAGGUGGCAAGCGUUGUCCGGAUUUACUGGGCGUAAAGGAUGCGUAGGCGGACAUUUAAGUCAGAUGUGAAAUACCCGAGCUUAAACUUGGGUGCUGCAUUUGAAACUGGGUGUCUAGAGUGCAGGAGAGGUAAGUGGAAUUCCUAGUGUAGCGGGUGAAAUGCGUAAAAGAUUAAGAAGAACACCAGUGGCGAAAGCGACUUAACUGGGCUGUAACUGACGCUGAGGCAUGAAAAGCGGUGGGGAAGCAAACCAGGAUUAGAUACCCUGGGUAGUCCACGCCGUAACGAUGAAUACUAAGUGUUCGGGGGUUCGAACCUCGGGUGCCGCAGUUAACACAAUAAGUAUUCCGCCUGGGGGAGUACGAUCGCAAGAUUAAACUCAAGGGAUUUGACGGGGGCCCGCACAGCAGCGGAG